UAGCUGUAGCAAAAGUUUUUCUUCUCUUUAGUAUCCAGUGCCUUAUUAUUAGCACUCUGACCUCCUUCUUGAGGGCUUUUCCACGGAGUGUAGACAAAGGCCAUCCUAGCAUCUGCUUGUCUCCACCUUCUCUCCAUCUGUAGUGUUCCUUCUGCCCGAUCAUGACAAGCUGGUGCUCCUCAAGGUGCUAUCCAAGCUGUGCUAGCAUGUGAGUCACUCUCUGUGGGUGAUGCCAUGCGACCAGCACAAAACAGUUCCAGACCACAGAGAAGGGCUGGUGAUCGACAGUUGCAAAUUUAUAGAAUGGGAUGGAUUCCUUAAUAAGUAACAGUUGACGGCCCACUAGAGAAAUAUGAACAGAAAAACUACCCCUGGAAAAUGGCACAUUUGCAGUGUGGUUGCAUCAUGAAAAGAAGAGUGUCCAGGAAACAAUGUUGUCCUGAGAAUACAGGCCAAGAUUCCUUUCUUGAAGAGUCUACUCAGCAGAAACAGUGCCACAUGCCAGGGGAAGGAAUAACCAAAAUAUUUUGAGGGUUUUAAUGCUGGUGUUCAAGAAUGUCAUAUCUGGCUUAUGUAAAAGGAACUAUUGGACAUCGUCCUUGAUUUUCCAUUCAUGUUUUAAAUUGAGGCAGCAAAAGAGCUUCUUGGGAUCUUGAACUAUUCGGCCAGUGGUUGGCUUUUAUUUUGUGAGCAGAUGGCUAGCAGAUGGAUAUACAUUGGCUAUGGACACAAACAAUAGGGUGAUGAAGAUCUGGCGUGGGGAGAAAACCAAGUGCAGG